GUAGGUGGCAAGCGUUGUCCGGAAUUAUUGGGCGUAAAGCGCGCGCAGGGCGGUCCUUUAAGUCAGAUGUGAAAGCCCACGGCUCAACCGUGGAGGGUCAUUGGAAACUGGGGGACUUGAGUACAGAAGAGGAAAGCGGAAUUCCACGUGUAGCGGUGAAAUGCGUAGAGAUGUGGAGGAACACCAGUGGCGAAGGCGGCUUUCUGGUCUGUAACUGACGCUGAGGCGCGAAAGCGUGGGGAGCAAACAGGAUUAGAUACCCUGGUAGUCCACGCCGUAAACGGUGAGUGCUAAGUGUUAGGGGGUUUCCGCCCCUUAGUGCUGCAGCUAACGCAUUAAGCACUCCGCCUGGGGAGUACGGCCGCAAGGCUG
rnacentral:rRNA from 1 species